GUUAAUCGGAAUUACUGGGCGUAAAGCGCAUGCAGGCGGCUUGUUAAGUCAGAUGUAGAAACGGCCCGGGGACUUAACCGUCGGUAAUUGCUAUUUAGAAACUGGCAGGCUAGAGUCUUGUAGAGGGGGUAGAAUUUCAGGUGUAGCGGUGAAAUGCGUAGAGAUCUGAAGGAAUACCAGUGGCGAAGGCGGCCCCCUGGACAAAGACUGACGCUCAGAUGCGAAAGCGUGGGGAGCAAACAGGAUUAGAUACCCUGGUAG
rnacentral:rRNA from 1 species